GUACCUAUGUCUGAGUGGCUUAAAGACUUCGCCUUGAAAGCGAAUGUGGUUCCGACCACCAUGGGUUCGAAUCCUGUUGGGUACA
rnacentral:tRNA from 1 species